UGCAGUCGAACGCUUCUUUUUCCACCGGAGCUUGCUCCACCGGAAAAAGAGGAGUGGCGAACGGGUGAGUAACACGUGGGUAACCUGCCCAUCAGAAGGGGAUAACACUUGGAAACAGGUGCUAAUACCGUAUAACAAUCAAAACCGCAUGGUUUUGAUUUGAAAGGCGCUUUCGGGUGUCGCUGAUGGAUGGACCCGCGGUGCAUUAGCUAGUUGGUGAGGUAACGGCUCACCAAGGCCACGAUGCAUAGCCGACCUGAGAGGGUGAUCGGCCACAUUGGGACUGAGACACGGCCCAAACUCCUACGGGAGGCAGCAGUAGGGAAUCUUCGGCAAUGGACGAAAGUCUGACCGAGCAACGCCGCGUGAGUGAAGAAGGUUUUCGGAUCGUAAAACUCUGUUGUUAGAGAAGAACAAGGAUGAGAGUAACUGUUCAUCCCUUGACGGUAUCUAACCAGAAAGCCACGGCUAACUACGUGCCAGCAGCCGCGGUAAUACGUAGGUGGCAAGCGUUGUCCGGAUUUAUUGGGCGUAAAGCGAGCGCAGGCGGUUUCUUAAGUCUGAUGUGAAAGCCCCCGGCUCAACCGGGGAGGGUCAUUGGAAACUGGGAGACUUGAGUGCAGAAGAGGAGAGUGGAAUUCCAUGUGUAGCGGUGAAAUGCGUAGAUAUAUGGAGGAACACCAGUGGCGAAGGCGGCUCUCUGGUCUGUAACUGACGCUGAGGCUCGAAAGCGUGGGGAGCAAACAGGAUUAGAUACCCUGGUAGUCCACGCCGUAAACGAUGAGUGCUAAGUGUUGGAGGGUUUCCGCCCUUUCAGUGCUGCAGCUAACGCAUUAAGCACUCCGCCUGGGGAGUACGACCCGCAAGGUUGAACU
rnacentral:rRNA from 1 species